rnacentral:tRNA from 1 species
AGCACGAUGGCCGAGUGGUUAAGGCGUUGGACUUAAGUUCCAAUGGACAAGUGUCCGUCCGCGUGGGUUCGAGCCCCACUCGUGCUA